GGCAAUCUGUGGAAGCGAAGAGGCGCAGGAAUUUGGAGUGUGAAGUCAAGAGCCCGGAGAUGAGGAAUAACGAAAGCUGGCUAGGAGAGCUGGGUGUGGUGGUGCAUGCCUGUAAACCUAGUUCUCACUACUCCGGAUGUGGCCACAGGAAUAUCAGGCAUUCAAGGCCAAGCCAAGGCCGGGGCUACAUGAGACCUUGUCUCAAAAAAAUGACAGCAAUGCUGGGGACGAGGCAGUGAGCUCAGAGGAGACUGUGGUCCCCUAGGGAGAGGCUUAGGGACCCCCAGAAGCACGCGCGUGAGUGCGCGUGUGCGACUAAGGAUAUGGUCCCCAAGUGGAAGAGGUGGCAGAGGAAGAACUAUGCGCUUCAGAUCAUCUUGGAGGGGGAAACCGUGGGGCAGGAGAGAAAAGAGGGAGCCCUAAACGCGGGAGAGGAGAGACGUGGACAACCCAGGACAGAGAAGACAAUUAGGAAGAAAAAGUAGUUGGGGUGGCGGGUAUUGGGGAGAGAUGCUGGAAAGGUGCACUUCUCCAAAACCCCCCAAACCCGCAGGCUUCUGCAUCUCCGCACUCCAGAGGCCUGCCCCUCCCAGGGCCACCGGGUGGGACAAGGCUGCAGUGUUGGGUUGCCUGCUGCGGCUGCCCCGCCCGCCCAGUCCGGGGACAAGCGGCCUUUCUUCAGCAGGGCCGGAGAAGAAGUCGCUUGUUUGCAUGGCAGGGAAAGGGGGCAGCCUCGCAGCUGCAGGAAGGGGGCUGGUGCGUGUCCGCGGGAGGUUGCGUGUGAGUGGAGCCGCCUGCUCCGGCAAAGCUUGCCCGCGCGUGGAGUUGCCUAGUGUGAAGUGUACCGAGUGCGUGGUGAAGUCGAGGCUCACGUGAAAGAUUGCCGUGGGCACCGGUGGUGUGACACUGAGCUGUCGGUGUGUAACGUGUCUUGCGGGUGCACGGAGGGCCGGCAGGAGGCUGAACUGUAGGAGUCUGGUCACUCAUUGACAGGGCUAGCAUUAGUGUGUGUGUGUGUGUGUGGUGGGGGCGCAGCUGGCUAUUGAAGGAGGGACAGCCAAGCAGUGGACAAGAGGGAGGAGAGAAUCCCACCUGCCACCUACUCCAGCUAACAGAGAGACCAGCUGACCCCAUGAUCAAGGUUCUGUAAAAUUUGUCCUAUCUCCUGCCAUGUCCAGCCUCCAUGUUCCCACAGUUACGGCACUCAGGGGACUCAAGACCUCCCGCCCCCGCCCCUCCACGCUCAUCCCACUCCACAUCUGGAGCCCAUCAAAAAGCUCAGUGCUCUCUCUCACAGUUAUGCAAGAGGUCGAGCAGCUGGGAGCUCAGAAAAGGGGGAGGAGGAGAAGAAAGAAGAAAACAGCUUUCCAAGCAUGCUUCAGACUUUCCGAAAUGGGGGGGGGGGGGGGCAGAGGCUGGGAGUGGAAGAAAGGGUGAGUUCUGCAAAGCCUUUUGCACUUGCCUGUGACUGUCGGGAGUGGAUUUCCACACCCCUCCUGUUUUAACCUUGGCACGUUUCCCAUUUUGUCCCUCCUCUCAAAUUGUGCUUGCUCCCUCUGCCUCCGGAAGAGGGUAAAAGUCACUCAUGUGGCCCGAGGCUUCUGCAGUCUACUCCCUUUCCCAGAAAGCUAUCCCUCUUGUUCCACAGUUUCCUCAAGAUUGAAACAUUCUUUCCUUCAGGGAAGUUCCUUAAGCAGGAAGGCAAACAACUCAAAAUAGCUUCAGGAAGUCCCUGAAACUGACCAGAUUCUGUAGGCCCCUCCCUGCCAGAGUAAAUAAAAGCCGAGAGGUCCUUCUCCACCAAGCUGAGCUGCAGAGAAGACUCCGGAGACCAGACCAGCUGCCUGGAAGAGCUUUUAGACCAACUGAAUCACUUGGAGAAGGACAUUCUCCAA